GACAGAGGUGCCGAGCGUUAGGCGGAAUCACUGGGCUUAAAGCGUGUGUAGGCGGGUCGUUAAGUGUCUUGUGAAAUCCCACCGCUCAACGGUGGAACUGCUGGGCAUACUGGCGAUCUUGAGCCACCUAGGGGCAGACGGAACAAGCGGUGGAGCUGUGAAAUGCGUAGAUAUCGCUUGGAACGCCGACGGUGAAAACAGUCUGCUGGGGGUGUGCUGACGCUGAGACACGAAAGCCAGGGGAGCGAACGGG
rnacentral:rRNA from 1 species